CAAAGCAGUCACUGAAAGCAGCACCAAGUGUCAGAUACAGAGAGCAGCUUGGAAGAAGUGCCUGGCAAGAGAGGAAGAAACUUCAAAAGCUUUAAUUUCAAGACAAUAAAGGUCUCAUGUUAUUAUGUGUACAAGCUUUGACUGCAACUGGGAAAAAGUUAUAGCAUGCAGGUGCAUCACAAGCAGGUCUAGGGAAGUGAUAAU